rnacentral:rRNA from 1 species
UACAGAGGUCUCAAGCGUUGUUCGGAUUCAUUGGGCGUAAAGGGUGUGUAGGUGGCGCGCUAAGUCGGGUGUGAAAUUUCGGAGCUUAACUCCGAAACUGCAUUCGAUACUGGCGUGCUUGAGGACUGGAGAGGAGACUGGAAUUCGAUGGUGUAGCAGUGAAAUGCGUAGAGAUCAUGAGGAAGACCAGUGGCGAAGGCGGGUCUCUGGACAGUUCCUGACAGCUGAGACACGAAGGCCAGGGGAGCAAACGGG